CAGCCGUAAACAAUGUGCGUUAGGUGUGUCGGUAACCACGCGUUACUGAUGCGCCGAAGAGAAAUCGUGAAACGCACCACCUGGGAAGUACGGUCGCAAGGCUGAAACUUAAAGGAAUUGGCGGGGGAGGCACCACAACAGGUGGAGCCUGCGGUUUAAUUGGAUUCAACGCCGGACAUCUCACCGGAUAAGACAGCUGAAUGAUUGUCAAUCUGAAGGUUUUACAUGACUAGCUGAGAGGUGGUGCAUGGC
rnacentral:rRNA from 1 species